rnacentral:rRNA from 1 species
CCCUGUGAACAUACCAAUUGUUGCCUCGGCGGAUCAGCCCGCUCCCGGUAAAACGGGACGGCCCGCCAGAGGACCCCUAAACUCUGUUUCUAUAUGUAACUUCUGAGUAAAACCAUAAAUAAAUCAAAACUUUCAACAACGGAUCUCUUGGUUCUGGCAUCGAUGAAGAACGCAGCAAAAUGCGAUAAGUAAUGUGAAUUGCAGAAUUCAGUGAAUCAUCGAAUCUUUGAACGCACAUUGCGCCCGCCAGUAUUCUGGCGGGCAUGCCUGUUCGAGCGUCAUUUCAACCCUCAAGCCCCCGGGUUUGGUGUUGGGGAUCGGCGAGCCCUUGCGGCAAGCCGGCCCCGAAAUCUAGUGGCGGUCUCGCUGCAGCUUCCAUUGCGUAGUAGUAAAACCCUCGCAACUGGUACGCGGCGCGGCCAAGCCGUUAAACCCCCAACUUCUGAAUGUUGACCUCGGAUCAGGUAGGAAUACCCGC